AUCUUACUUUGAGCAUUCCAGUAACUUUUUUGUGUAUGUACCUAGCAUACUCUACUACAAGUAGUUGGUUUGUAUGAGAUGGUUAAAA
ensembl:miRNA